AUUAGAUAAAAGAAAUUCACUCCUACUCACUUCUAAUCAUAUAUACCUAUUUGUUAAGAAAUCCUGAUGUUCUGAGAUUUCAUUUUCAUUGAGUUUAUUGGAAAGAAAAAGUAAUGGACUGGGACUAGAAGAUUCUUCUAAAUUCAAGACGUUCAUAAGAAGGAGUUGGUUGCCUAUUAUAGGGAUUUACAGGAACUUUCACACAAGAAUUGUAAAAAGAUGUACCUUUAUGUUCUGUCAUUGCCUAUUACAGUAAAUAAAUUUUUAUUAUUAUAUAUUUUCAAUGAAAAUCUAAAAAUUUAUUUAUUUUUUUUUAGCAUUUUAUACAAAAAAUAUUUCAUAUUUAUAAUAAUUUAAAUUUAAUAAUAAUUAUAAUUAAGUUGAAAAAAAAUAUUUGUAUUUUACAUUAAUAUUUAAAUAAAAUAUAUCAAUAUA